UAACUUAGGAAUUUAAUUUAGGUUUUAAUUAAUUAAAGAAAGAAAAAAAGAAAAGGAAUUGAAAAGGCUUGGUCUUAAAUUCAAAUUGGACCAAACAUUUUAGAAGCCCUUAUUUCCCCCCAACUCGGUCCAAACUGGAUCGACUCGACCCAAUACCCAAUACCAACCCUAAGACCGAGAUCUAUAAACUAGACACAAAACAUUAGAAGAAGAUAUAGUAGCGUCGCAGAGACAAAAUACAGACCCCAAUCAGAUUUAUCUUCUUCUUCACCGAGAUAAAGAUACCUAAACCGUAACACACAAAGUAAUGCCUGAAACUCUGAGAUCUGGCCGCAUUUUGAGCAAAAAACGAAUAGACCCCAUGGUUCUCUCUACGACGCAGCUUCAACCAUAACACACAGCAUGAGCUUCUUCCUCAUCGAAACGAAAAACCAACAGACCCUUUUUCCAUGAAGCCUAAGCUUCUUCUUCUUCAUUGAAAACUUGAAAAACCCUAGAGAAUCCUCACCCAGCAACCCACGCAAUCAGCAACACACUAGAAGAGACACGGCUGGAUCUCCGUCUUCUUUAAUUUUCACCAGUCAACGGGAAAAGCUCUCUGGCCGCUGCUUUUUCUUCAUCAUCCUCACGCAAAUUAUCACACACUUGAAACCAGAGAGUAUAAAAAACUGAAUGUAAAACCUGGACAGCCAAUUUAGGUGCACGUCUAACAUAGCAGUCACUCUUGAUAAGAUGGAACGUAGGUGUAGUUUUAUCUGAAAAUUGCCAUUGGAAUGGGCACUUUCGAUGACGAUUAUCAUGGUGGUUUAAAUCGCAGAGCGAGGUAGUCCGGUCAGAGGUUUGUUGAGGGUCUACAGCGAGAUUAGUUCGGUCCGCGUCCUUUUUUUGAUUUUGCUUCUGGAAUUUCUGUUCGGAAUUUUGUUAAGAAUUCUAUUUUCUUAUGGAAUCUCUAUUUAUUUUUGUAUGAGGUAAAAUUCGGUUCACCUCGUCACUGCAUAAGUAAGCACGUCCUCAUAACGAGGCCGCCCUCAAAGCCUUAUUCAAUCGGAUAAGGACGACCCGACGAAUGACGUCCUAAUCAACUAAGCAGAGGAACGACACCGUUUUAGGCCUGGCUUCUUCCGUACAAAGAAGCCACCAACUUUUGUACUUUUCUUUUCGUGUAUCUCGAGAAAAGGGCUCCUAAUAUAUAAAGGAUACCUUCACCCUGUAAUAAGGCAGAUUGAUUAUUCUGAAUAUACCAACUCUCUACUUUCUCUCUCUCUCUCUCUCUCUACUAUUAUCAAGCAAACUUCUUUAUAUCGCUUUAUCCCUUUAUGAUAGCAAAAACUCUCGAUUAU
rnacentral:lncRNA from 1 species